UACGUAGGGGGCAAGCGUUGUCCGGAAUUAUUGGGCGUAAAGCGCGCGCAGGCGGUCUUUUAAGUCUGGUGUUUAAGCCCGGGGCUCAACCCCGGUUCGCACCGGAAACUGGAAGACUUGAGUGCAGGAGAGGAAAGCGGAAUUCCACGUGUAGCGGUGAAAUGCGUAGAGAUGUGGAGGAACACCAGUGGCGAAGGCGGCUUUCUGGACUGUAACUGACGCUGAGGCGCGAAAGCGUGGGGAGCAAAC
rnacentral:rRNA from 1 species